rnacentral:sRNA from 1 species
CUGUCCCCACGUACGUUUGAGUUCCUCCGCGCCGUUCGCAGCCACCUGACAACUGCCCGCUACGUUUUGUUGGCC